UGGGGAAUUUUGGACAAUGGGCGCAAGCCUGAUCCAGCCAUGCCGCGUGCAGGAUGAAGGCCUUCGGGUUGUAAACUGCUUUUGUACGGAACGAAAAGACUCUGGUUAAUACCUGGGGUCCAUGACGGUACCGUAAGAAUAAGCACCGGCUAACUACGUGCCAGCAGCCGCGGUAAUACGUAGGGUGCGAGCGUUAAUCGGAAUUACUGGGCGUAAAGCGUGCGCAGGCGGUUAUAUAAGACAGAUGUGAAAUCCCCGGGCUCAACCUGGGAACUGCAUUUGUGACUGUAUAGCUAGAGUACGGCAGAGGGGGAUGGAAUUCCGCGUGUAGCAGUGAAAUGCGUAGAUAUGCGGAGGAACACCGAUGGCGAAGGCAAUCCCCUGGGCCUGUACUGACGCUCAUGCACGAAAGCGUGGGGAGCAAACAGGAUUAGAUACCCUGGUAGUCCCUGAGCGGGCUGGCAAGGCGCAU
rnacentral:rRNA from 1 species